CGUUAGUGGUCUGCUCAGCCAUUGAUUGGUGCUGCAGUGGGCCCAUCCCCCAGACAACCAACAGUCAAUGAGUGACUGUUAGUGGCAGAAGUGGUGGUUGUCAGGUAGAGAGUGAGGUAUAGCAGAUGGCUUCCUGAACUUGAAGUCAAGGGUCCACUUACUAGCUGUGUGUUCUGAACUCGUCACUUGCCCUCUCUGGGCCUCUCUGGCCUCACCUGUAAAACGAGCUAAGAAGAGAGGAUCUCUAAAGUUCUUCUGGAUCUAAUAGUCGAAGACUCUGAAGCCCUGAUUCUCAUCCGAAGGAGAUCUAGGACUUAAGCUUUGAAGUCACUUCCUAAGCCUUCACUGCCGCCCACGCUUGGAGUAGAUGUCCCUACCUGAAAUGCCAAUGUGCCAUGAAUUCUCCUGGCCUAGCAAGGUUCUGAUGGGCUGUUACCCUGCCUGCACUCCAUGGCACAUGUUAAGGGCUGUGAGAUGAAGCGCUGUACUUACUUUACUGUUAUAUUCCUGGCUUAUAUCAUAG
ensembl:lncRNA